GUAGCAGCGGGGAGUCUGCGGAUGGUCGUUGCCGUGGCUCACCUGUUCGGGGAGCAGUCUCGCGGGAGAGUGCCUCCAGGUCAAUGAGCGGGGGCUCUCCCGACAGGCAGAGCAGAAGUUUUUCCGGGGAUAGAUAUGGCCGUAAGGGCCAGCAUGCCAGGAGUAGCAGUCCACGUAGAGGCCCAAUGGGUGAGGUCAGGGAG